CUACGGGUUGCAGCAGUGGGGAAUAUUGCACAAUGGGCGCAAGCCUGAUGCAGCCAUGCCGCGUGUAUGAGGAAGGCCUUCGGGUUGUAAAGUACUUUCAGCGGGGAGGAAGGGAGUAAAGUUAAUACCUUUGCUCAUUGACGUUACCCGCAGAAGAAGCACCGGCUAACUCCGUGCCAGCAGCCGCGGUAAUACGGGAGGGUGCAAGCGUUAAUCGGAAUUACUGGGCGUAAAGCGCACGCAGGCGGUUUGUUAAGUCAGAUGUGAAAUCCCCGGGCUCAACCUGGGAACUGCAUCUGAUACUGGCAAGCUUGAGUCUCGUAGAGGGGGGUAGAAUUCCAGGUGUAGCGGUGAAAUGCGUAGAGAUCUGGAGGAAUACCGGUGGCGAAGGCGGCCCCCUGGACGAAGACUGACGCUCAGGUGCGAAAGCGUGGGGAGCAAACAGGAUUAGAUACCCCGGUAGUC
rnacentral:rRNA from 1 species